UACGUAGGGUGCGAGCGUUAAUCGGAAUUACUGGGCGUAAAGGGUGCGUAGGCGGCUUUUUAAGUCAGUGGUGAAAUCCUACAGCUUAACUGUAGAACAGCCAUUGAUACUGAAGAGCUUGAGUACAGACGAGGUAGGCGGAAUUUAUGGUGUAGCGGUGAAAUGCAUAGAUACCAUAAAGAACUCCUAUUGCGAAGGCAGCUUACUAGGCUGUAACUGACGCUGAGGCACGAAAGCGUGGGGAUCAAACAGG
rnacentral:rRNA from 1 species